GACAGAGGGUGCAAACGUUGUUCGGAAUUACUGGGCGUAAAGCGCGUGUAGGCGGCUUUGCAAGUCGGGUGUGAAAUCCCACGGCUCAACCGUGGAAGUGCAUUCGAAACUGCGAGGCUAGAGUCCUGGAGAGGAAGGUGGAAUGCUUGGUGUAGAGGUGAAAUUCGUAGAUAUCAAGCGGAACACCGGUGGCGAAGGCGGCCUUCUGGACAGUGACUGACGCUGAGGCGCGAAGGCCCAGGGGAGCAAAGCGGG
rnacentral:rRNA from 1 species